AACGAACGCUGGCGGCGUGCCUAACACAUGCAAGUCGCACGAGAAAGCGGGCUUCGGCCCGCCGGUAAAGUGGCAGACGGGUGAGUAACACGUGGGUAACCUCCCCAGAGGUGGGGGAUAACCCUCCGAAAGGAGGGCUAAUACCGCAUGAUAUCUCGAGAGCUUCGGCUUUUGCGAUCAAAGCUAGCCUCUACUUGUAAGCUAGCGCCACUGGAGGGACCCGCGCCCCAUUAGCUAGNGGUGAGGUAACGGCUCACCAAGGCUCCGAUGGGUAGCCGGCCUGAGAGGGGUGUCCGGCCACACUGGGAACUGAGACACGGUCCAGACUCCUACGGGAGCAGCAGUGAGGAAUCUUGCGCAAUGGGCGAAAGCCUGACGCAGCGACGCCGCGUGGAGGACGAAGGUCUUCGGAUCGUAAACUCCUGUCAAGUGGGACGAAAUCUGCAGGGAUGAAUAAG
rnacentral:rRNA from 1 species